UCCAAUCACUAGACCCUAUCGCCACUGUCUAGGGAAAAACA
rnacentral:tRNA from 1 species